GCGAUUCUUCGAGGCUCAUUCCGCACACCACGCACGCCAGGUACAUCACCAUGGGCUACGUCACGAGCCAAGGGCGCAAUUGCAGAGACACAGCGUCUUGCAGGUGCAUCCUUGCCGGUUCGUAGCCGAGUGCGAGUAUACCAAGCCGUCCCAAGCGGUCAGCAUGCGUGCGAGGCUCCCGUUGCGAGCGGCCGUGGUGCGGCGCCACUGCGCCAUUCCCGUCAACCGGCUCCGAUCGAGAAGCAAGCGGGAAGUGGUGGGAGCGCCUGCUACGAACUGCAAUUUCUCGCUUCAUUAUGCUACUCAUCUCACUUGCUGGAUAUUUGUUUACUGCUACAGCACAACAUGGUAACAUACACUA